rnacentral:misc_RNA from 1 species
UGAGAAACAAAAUAUAAUUGAAUUUCACUCGAUACGAUCCAUGAUUAAUGCCAUGAUGGUUAAGAAUGCCCAUAAUUAGACUCCAUUAUACAGAGUUUAUGGGGUGUUUUUUUUAUUUUUUUUUCACAUUCCAGACAAACAAAUAUGCAUUACCUUCCACCAUGUUCCUCUUUCUUCUAUGCAGAGGCCUCUCAGAAGCCUUUGCUCAAAAAACGUCACCCUAACAUGCAAAGGCUCCACAGAAGCCUAUGCUCAAAAAAUAUAGUAGUAUUUUAAGACAAAACAUUUGAGCAAAAUACAAAUGCAGUCACCAAAAAGACUAUGGGUAAGCUCACAAGUCGCAACCAUAUCUGCACCGAUUGUAUUUCGAACCUGCUGUACAUAUGUUAAAAAGGUAUUCUCCUUGCUUGCUUCUUUACUGGUCGAUCAAACGGAUCAGAAAUAGGGGCCUGAUAGGAUGAUGGAGGUGGGAGCGCCGGCCUACCAAACGGCAUAUCUGUACAAUCAGCUGGAUUGGCCAAUGCAAGGGGAUUCACUUCAUUAGGCUCAAGAGGUCUAGUGUCAUCACAUGUAGCUGAUACACGGGCAGGACGCUUUCUCACAUAGUUCUCCUGCAAAGGCUUUGGGAUUUGAAAUGAAAAUUGUGACAGUGUUACCCCGUCUUGCACAUAUUCAGGAUGAUCCAUUAAGUACUUUUGGAUCUCUACCAUUGAGCGGAGCCUCUUGCCUGAUGGUGACUCAUAGUACACGUCUGCAAAUUUGGUACUCCC